AGCGUGAGCGUGCUAAGGUAGCGUAAUAAUUAGCCUUUUAAUUGGAGGCCAGUGAAUGGCAAGACUAGGAAUAGCUGUACUUUGUGUAUAAAAAGAACUUUUCGUCUAAGUGAAAAGACUUAGAUAACAAAGGAAGACGAAAAGACCCCGCGGAACUUUACCUUUUCUUAAACUUCUGUCUACAAACUUAAAGGUUUAAUAGGUUUGAUUGGGGCAAUCUUGGAACCAGUAAAACUUCCAAUUUUUUAAAAUAAACAUAUAAAAUUUGUUGAGGACUAAAAAGUAGUUACCCCGGGGAUAACAGCGUAAUCCAACUCAAGAGUACACAUCGAAAGUUGGGUUUGCGACCUCGAUGU
rnacentral:rRNA from 1 species